GGUUAAUUCGAUGCAACGCGAAGAACCUUACCUGGCUUGACAUCCCUGGAAUCCCCUGGAAACAGGGAGUGCCUUCGGGAGCCAGGAGACAGGUGCUGCACGGCUGUCGUCAGCUCGUGUCGUGAGAUGUUGGGUUAAGUCCCGCAACGAGCGCAACCCUUGUCUUUAAUUGCCAUCAUUCAGUUGGGCACUUUAAAGAGACUGCCGGUGUUAAACCGGAGGAAGGUGGGAUGACGUCAAGUCCUCAUGGCCUUUAUGCUUAGGGCUACACACGUGCUACAAUGGGUGGUACAAAGAGAAGCCAACUCGCGAGAGCGCGCCAAUCUCAAAAAGCCAUCCUCAGUUCGGAUUGGAGUCUGCAACUCGACUCCAUGAAGUUGGAAUCGCUAGUAAUCGCGGAUCAGCAUGCCGCGGUGAAUACGUUCCCGGGCCUU
rnacentral:rRNA from 1 species